UACAGAGGUCUCAAGCGUUGUUCGGAUUUACUGGGCGUAAAGCGCGUGUAGGCGGCUUGGCAAGUCGGAUGUGAAAGCCCACGGCUCAACCGUGGAAGCGCAUCCGAAACGGCCUCGCUCGAGUCUCGGAGAGGAAGGUGGAAUGCUUGGUGUAGAGGUGAAAUUCGUAGAUAUCAAGCAGAACACCUGCGGCGAAGGCGGCCUUCUGGACGAUGACUGACGCUGAGACGCGAAAGCGUGGGGAGCAAACAGG
rnacentral:rRNA from 1 species